rnacentral:rRNA from 1 species
AACGAACGCUGGCGGCAUGCCUAACACAUGCAAGUCGAACGCCCUUUUCGGAGGGAGUGGCGCACGGGUGCGUAAAGCGUGGGAACCUGCCCUUAGGUUCGGAAUAACUUCCCGAAAGGGAUGCUAAUACCGGAUAAUGUCUUCGGACCAAAGAUUUAUCGCCUUUGGAUGGGCCCGCGUAGGAUUAGGGAGUUGGUGAGGUAAAGGCUCACCAAGCCGACGAUCCUUAGCUGGUCGGAGAGGAUGAUCAGCCACACUGGGACUGAGACACGGCCCAGACUCCUACGGGAGGCAGCAGUGGGGAAUAUUGGACAAUGGGCGAAAGCCUGAUCCAGCAAUGCCGCGUGAGUGAUGAAGGCCUUAGGGUUGUAAAGCUCUUUUACCAGGGAUGAUAAUGACAGUACCUGGAGAAUAAGCUCCGGCUAACUCCGUGCCAGCCGCCGCGGUAA